rnacentral:rRNA from 1 species
AUUGAACGCUGGCGGAAUGCUUUACACAUGCAAGUCGAACGGCAGCACGGACUUCGGUCUGGUGGCGAGUGGCGAACGGGUGAGUAACAUAUCGGAACGUAUCCAAUAAUGGGGGAUAACGAGUCGAAAGAUUCGCUAAUACCGCAUACGCCCUACGGGGGAAAGCUGGGGACCUUCGGGCCUGGCGUUAAUGGAGCGGCCGAUAUCUGAUUAGCUAGUUGGUGAGGUAAAGGCUCACCAAGGCGACGAUCAGUAGCUGGUCUGAGAGGACGACAAGCCACACUGGAACUGAGACACGGUCCAGACUCCUACGGUGGGCAGCAGUGGGGAAUUUUGGACAAUGGGCGAAAGCCUGAGCCAGCCAUUCCGCGUGAGUGAAGAAGGCCUUCGGGUUGUAAAGCUCUUUCGAAAGGGAAGAAAACUUAGCCACUAACAUUGGUUGAGGUUGACGGUACCUUGAUAAGAAGCACCGGCUAACUACGUGCCAGCCGCCGCAGUAA